UUGUAUUGUUCGGAAAAUAUUAUGAAAUUAUGUAUAAAUCGAUUAUGGUGUUAAAAAUUAUCUAUAGGAUAAGGAAGAAGCCCCCACAAAUAUUGGAUUAAUUUUUUUAGUAUUAAAAUUUAUAAUUUAUUAUGUUGUAUUGUUAAUAUUUUGUGUAUUGGAAUAUUGUGCAUUAGGAAUAUUGCUGGGUUAGAAUUUGGCAUACAUGAUGAAUAUAUUUGAUUUUUGAAAUAUUGUUAGGUAAAGUUUUUAUCUUGUUCAAUUAUUAUUUCCUUGAAAAUGCUACAAAUUUGCUAUAUAUUUGAUUUUUGAAAUUUUACAAUGACUAUUAUCAAUAUUGCAGCAUGUUAAUAACAUUUUAUUUACUUUUUGGUGUAGGAUUUUUGUUUUCAAGGUGACAAAGAC
rnacentral:lncRNA from 1 species